AAGUGGCUGUCUCGACAUUCUGGCUUCUCUCCUGACUGACCUGAGAGUCCUGAGCGCUCAUGUCCGGCUGGGCCUCCUCCCCUUCCUCUCAGAAGCCUAUGCGCUCUAUGAGGGUGCCGUCGGCUCGGAGCACGAUGAGACCGUGGACGCUUUCCGUGCCUUCUUGCAAAGGAAUAUUGACCUGAUUUCCCAGAAUCCUUGGCUGCUUCUGCAACAGGCUGCGAACGAACCAGACUCCUCCGCUCUCUGUUCGCAAGCCCAGGCUGAGCUGUGCGGAAAUGGAAGGCAUUUCCUGAAGUGGAUUAACAAACCUCAGGAAGCCCAAGAGAACGUGAGCCUCGUUCUGCCUCUACCAGCCACACCAUCCAGUGCCUCAGUUUCCCCCUCUGGAAGCCUGGCUGCUGUGGGCACUGUUGAGGGAACC